ensembl:lncRNA
UGAUAGAUGGACAGAGAGAUAAAAAAUAGGUAGGUAAGUAGGUAAAUAAAUAAAUGAAUGAACAGUCAGAUAACCUGACAAUUCCUGCAAGAACAUUCAUCUCUAGUUGCGGCUCUUUGGGGCUAGCUCUCAGGGAUGGCAGAGAAACUCCUAGCGUGAAUUGCUGCUCAACAGCUGAGACAGUGGUGCUGCUGCUGAAUGGCUGGGGCAGAAUAGAGGAGACAUUUCAGGAGGGAAAGGGAGAGUAGGACAUGUAUGAUUUUCAUGACUAUAUUUGAGAAUAGAGAAAACUUACAUGAAGAUGAGAAAAUGAGGGCAAGAGGUGGUGAUGGUCACCUGCAAAAUGUAGUCUGGGGGAGGACAGUCAAACCAGAAGGAGAGACCAAUGAAUACUGAAAGAGGAGGGGGAGGAGGUGCUUCCUGGGGGAUUUGCUGGGAAAAAGGGAUGGACACAAUAAGAGAAACAGUGAGGAAGGACAUCGGCCAACAUGGGCCAAGCUUUGGUCCUGAGGACAAGCUCUCCCCUUUCACCACCUCUUACCUCCUUUUUUUUUGGGGGGGGGUGUAUCAUGGGUUAUUCAGGAAGUAGAGAGCACAGUAGGCCCAGACCAACCUAUCCAGGGGAGUGAGAGGGUUCACCUAGUCCAACUUGGCCCCUACGGGAUCUUGGGAUUCAUCUUCUCCAGGAUCGAAGUGCUAGAUAUAUUCAUGAUGGAGCUUGAGCAGGACCCAUUGCUGCUAAGGCACUGGAGGGCUCUUCCAGAGCCAGAGCAAACUUCUCCAGGGAAGACCUACUUCUCCCCCAGAAUUCCUAACCCAGUGGUUUGCUUGCAAGUGGGUGACUCCAUUCUCUUCCAGCUUAACAUUCUCCCCAAUAAUCGCCAGGCCAGUCACUACCCAGUGUACCAGAAGCAGCAUCUGUUCAACAGCAACCCUCAAUGGGACUUUGGUGCCUUCAGGAGAUUGAACCACUUGGUUCGAGAGACACGCCUCAACUUCUCUAGGUUUGCACAUGUGUUCCUGGACCCAGGCAUAUACGUGUUCCAGGACAAUGGACUACCUGAAAGCAUCCUCAUUGUGUUGGUGAAAGAGGAAGGUGUGGCCUGCGACCCUGGCACAUCCCCCAUACAGCCCUCCUCCCCAUAUCAAUUGGCCAGACAUGGAAUCCUUAAACAUCAGCCGCUGAACUUAGCUCCUGACUGGGCAACAAUUAUAGGGGUGCUGCUGGUUAUUGGAUUAGGAACAGUGGUGCUGACUAUCUUGGCCUUUGUGCUAAAGCCUUCGCUAUCUGGAGUCUGCCCCGUGCAACACUGGAAGCCACGAUGGAGGAGCCUUGGGGAGCCCUACAUCCCUCCCCAAUAUGUGCUCAUCAAAGACAGCCUCCCAUUCUAUGAUGCUUUCAGCACUUGGGGCUCUGGGGAAGGACCAUCUACCAGCGAGAAGGAUAUUUUCCAAGGCUCAGGGGGGCCACCUCUGGUGAAGACUUUGGAGGACUUCAGUGUCCGCACUUUGUACGAUAAGCUUGAGGACCAGAACCUACACUUGGCAUCACAGCUGAGCAAGCACAGGAGUGAUGCUCUUGCCUUUUACAAAGGAAU